UAUGUAGUCCGAGAUCAAUGA
rnacentral:piRNA from 1 species